UUUUCCCUGAGAUGAAUCUCGAACCAUCAAAGCCUUUCUGACUAAACCUUAUAUCUCGUAUAAGAGGUAAUUUCAAUUUCGAUGUAGUUUUAGUUUCUGCUUAGAAAGUUUAAUGGAAAAUUUAUUAAUAAUUUUUACAUAAAGUGACUUAUUCUGAAAAAGUAACUCACAAUAUGCACUUUUUUCAUGUUCAUGUGUAUAUAUAACUCUAGCAACCGGGUACAGAAAAUAUUUGCAACAAUUCUUUUUUUGGUUUAAUUACCUGAGGAUGCAUAGCUAGUUAGAAGACUGAAAAAGGUGCUAAAUAGGUUUGGUGAGGAUAACGACACACAAGCUGAUUAUUAAUCUUAAUCUAAUCAUAACCUUGCUGAUUUUUUAUUCUAUGACUUAUAUUGUAUAAAAGUCUAUUUGAGACAGAGAUAUACUUAGCUUUAUUCUGAUCAGUUAUAUGGUCCAUUCAACAUUGAUAAAACAUUUUUGUAGUUUUUUAAAAGAAUUUAUUAGUUGACAAACCUAUAAGUUGGAAUUUAUAAACGCGGAAUGCAAACGAAGAAAAUUUGAUUUCAAAAAGUAAUCGAUAAUAUUUUUAAAAUAUUAGAAUUUCAUUUAUUUUUGCAUACUAGUAUAAUCCUUUUCUCAAAGUUUAGAGAAGCUAAAGUUAACUACACAAUCCAUCCGAAUUUGUAGAUAAAAGAGUCAAAACAACAUACGCUAUGUUUCCAGACAAAUAGCUUAUAUAACUUAACACUUGACACAAUUAGAACACUUUGAUUUGUGUGGAAGAAAUUGAUGAUAGGAUAUAGUUUUUUUGGAGAAAUUCACUUGAAAAUCCUCCAGGCUUGUUCUCAACCGUAAACACAAACACUUGGCAAUUACUUCAUCCUUAUCCUUUUCAGGUUCCUUGGUUGAAAUCAGUUUGGUUCAGCAAUCCAAAAUAUGUGUUCCUACAUUGGUUUGGAAUCCUUUUGUAACACAUUUCAUUAUAUCUCCUCCUUUGGAAUUUUAGAAUAUUGUGGGUUGGGUUCGCUCUCCCAUUCCAUGUAAAAAAACUCAAUUGACUUGACUAUGCAAGCUAAUCCUCCUAGCAGUGAUUUAUUACUUAUGGAAAUAAAUAAAUUCAAGACUCCUCGCGUCAACACCAUUGAGUCAUUGACAACCAAGUGAGAGAAGGAUUGCCUCAGCAAAAGGAACAAGCCGGGAAUGUACCUACGAAAGUGCUCUCCAAGUUUGGUUUGACUCACGAUGAAGACCACAAGAUCAUCUAUAGUAUUUCAAUCCAAGCAAUUUAUAUUCUCUGAAAACUCUUGGUAGCAAAUUCUCACUCUUUUUACAAAAUGAUUUUUGGAUUUGAAUAAAUUAACAUUUUUUUUUAAAAUCCAAGACUCGAUAAUCCAUCUCCAAACCGGCAACUCGUUAAGUGAAGGAGAUUCAAUUAAUCCCAAGGGCUAAACUUCUAGGUCUGGAUAGAGAAACUCUAUCUAGCAUAGACAUCAAUAAUUUCUUCACACAUGGAAGGGAAAUCAGCUAACCAUCUUUUCACAUGAUUCAUUCACUGCUUCACGGAUGGUGGUUCUUAUUAGGCAUGUAUUGAUUUUCAUUUUUUUUAUUUUUCAUUUUUUAGUUCAGUCUGUUAUCUGAAAUGUUUUUUACUAAUGAAUCAAUAUUCAAAAUCAUUGUACUUUGGAUUCCUUUUUUAUCAAAGCUUCUACUUUCUAAAUUCUCUGACUGUUCUUGGUUUGUAAUUCCGUAUGAUGUAUCUCUUUUUUGUUGAGAAAAAAAAUUGAUGCAUACAAAUCAUCAAUAUGUGCUUUUUGAAACUAUAACAACCACGUAGCCCCAAGAUUCGUGAACCCUUACAGGCCCAUAUAUAGGCUUGAAGAUAAAAGAAAAUUUGCAUACACUUUAAGAGCUCGACAAGAGAAAUGAAGAGCUAUUGACAGCUUCUCCUCCCACCAAGAUGUUAACCGUACGUACUUUGAACCUCUCAAGCUUUUCAAUGGCCUCCUCAAGUAGACUGCCCCCUCGAGCGCGUGUCGUGUGAAUAUUAACGCCACUGUGAAGCUUAGAUUUAAUAUGUUGAAUCAUCCCUUGAUCCUCUUUACGAUCUAAUAUGUUGUCUAGUCUUCUAGAUUUAGAGACCAAUGUUUUCUCACUCAUUACUGCGUUUGUGUAAAUCGAGAAUGAUUCACAAAAUAACGAUCUUGAAAGCAAAAGAAGGGAAAUAUUAAAAUUUGUGUGUUUGUUUGGUAAUCAAUGUGUAAAAUGUAUGUUGGAUUGUUGGUUUAUGUGGUUAUA